rnacentral:rRNA from 1 species
UGGGAAUAUUGGACAAUGGACGAAAGUCUGAUCCAGUGACGCCGCGUGAAGGAAGAAGGUCUUCGGAUUGUAAACUUAUUUUAUUGGGGAAGAAACAAAUGACAGUACCCAAAGAAGAAGGACCGGCAAACUACGUGCAAGCAGCCGCGGUAAUACGUAGGGUCCAAGCGUUAUCCGGAUUUACUGGGUGUAAAGGGCGAGUAGACGGCGUUAUAAGUCAGAUGUGAAAACUUGGGGCUCAACCCCAAGACUGCAUCUGAAACUAUAAUGCUAGAGUGCAGGAGAGGAAAGUGGAACUCCUAGUGUAGCGGUGAAAUGCGUAGAUAUUAGGAGGAACACCAGUGGCGAAGGCGACUUUCUGGACUGUAACUGACGUUGAGGCGCGAAAGUGUGGGGAGCAAAC